rfam:Candidate divison MSBL1 archaeon SCGC-AAA259I09 AAA259I09_Contig_60, whole genome shotgun sequence.
GGGCCUGUAGCUCAGUCACGGUAGAGCUCCCGUCUGAUGUGCGGGCGGUCGUCGGUUCGAAUCCGGCCAGGCCCA